AUUGAACGCUGGCGGCAGGCCUAACACAUGCCAGUCGAGCGGAUGAAGGGAGCUUGCUCCUGGAUUCAGCGGCGGACGGGUGAGUAAUGCCUAGGAAUCUGCCUGGUAGUGGGGGAUAACGUCCGGAAACGGGCGCUAAUACCGCAUACGUCCUGAGGGAGAAAGUGGGGGAUCUUCGGACCUCACGCUAUCAGAUGAGCCUAGGUCGGAUUAGCUAGUUGGUGGGGUAAAGGCCUACCAAGGCGACGAUCCGUAACUGGUCUGAGAGGAUGAUCAGUCACACGGGAACUGAGACACGGUCCAGACUCCUACGGGAGGCAGCAGUGGGGAAUAUUGGACAAUGGGCGAAAGCCUGAUCCAGCCAUGCCGCGUGUGUGAAGAAGGUCUUCGGAUUGUAAAGCACUUUAAGUUGGGAGGAAGGGCAGUAAGUUAAUACCUUGCUGUUUGGACGUUACCAACAGAAUAAGCACCGGCUAACUUCGU
rnacentral:rRNA from 1 species